rnacentral:tRNA from 1 species
CGGGAUGUAGCUCAGCUUGGGAGAGCACCUGCUUUGGGAGCAGGGGGUCGCAGGUUCAAAUCCUGUCAUCCCGACCA